AUUUACCUUAUGUAACACGUUGGGAUUAUUUAGCUACUAUGUUCACAGAAGCAAUAACCAUAAAUGGACCCGAACAAUUAGGCAAUAUUCAAGUACCUAAAAGGGCUAGCUAUAUCAGAGUCAUUAUGUUGGAGUUGAGUCGGAUCGCUUCUCAUUUGUUAUGGCUCGGUCCUUUUAUGGCGGAUAUUGGUGCGCAGACCCCUUUCUUCUAUAUUUUUCGAGAAAGAGAAUUGAUAUAUGACCUAUUCGAAGCUGCUACCGGUAUGCGAAUGAUGCAUAAUUAUUUUCGAAUUGAUAUAUGACCUAUUCAAAGCUGCUACUGGUAUACGAAUGAUGCAUAAUUAUUUUCGUAUUGGAGGAGUGGCUGCCGAUCUACCCUAUGGCUGGGUAGAUAAAUUUUUGGAUUUUUGCGAUUAUUUUUUAACAGGGGUUGCUUAGUGUCAAAAACUUAUUACCCUGAAUCCUAUUUUUUUAGAAUGAGUUGAAGGUAUAGGGAUUAUUGGGCAAGACGGGGCAUUAAAUUGGGGUUUAUCGAGACCAAUUCUACGAGCUUCCAAAAUAGAAUGGGAUGUUCAUAAAGUUGAUCAUUAUGAGUCUUACGACGAAUUUGAUUGGCAGGUUCAAUGGCAAUGAGAAGGGGAUUUAUUAGCUCGUUAUUUAGUACGAAUCGGUGAAAUGACAGAAUCCUUAAAGAUUAUUCAACAGGCUCUGGAAAGAAUUCCAGGAGGGCCUUACAAAAAUUUAAAAAUUUGACAUUUUGACAGAUUAAAAGAUCCUGAAUGGAAUGAUUUUGAAUAUCGGUUUAUUAGUAAAAACCCCUCUCCAACUUUUGAAUUGUCAAAAUAAGAACUUUAUGUGAGAGUUGAAGCCCCAAAAGGAGAAUUGGGAAUUUUUAUCAUAGGAGAUUAGAGCGUUUUUCCUUGGAGAUGGAAAAUUCGCCCACCAAGUUCUAUCAAUUUGCAAAUUCUUCCUCAGUUAGUUAAAAGAAUGAAAUUGGCUAAUAUUAUGACAAUACUAGGUAGCAUAGAUAUCAUUAUGGGAAAAGUUGAUCGUUGAAAUGAUAAUUGAUACAACAUAAAUAGAGACUAUCAAUUCUUUUUCCAAAUUGGAAUCCUUAAAAGCAACCUAUGGGAUCAUAUGGAUGCUUGUCCCUAUUUUGAAUCUUGUGUUAGGAAUCACAAUAGGUGUACUAGUAAUUGUUUGGUUAGAAAGAGAAAUAUCUACGGGAAUACAACAAUGUAUCGGACCUGAAUAUGCCAGCCCUUUAGGAAUUCUUCGAGCUUUAGCAGAUGGGACAAAACUACUUUUGAAAGAGAACCUUAUUCCAUCUACAGGAGAUACUCGUUUAUUCAGUAUCGGACCAUCCAUAGCAGUAAUAUCUAUCUUUCUAAGUUAUUCAGUAAUUCCUUUUAGCGAUCACCUUGUUCUAGCCGAUCUUAGUAUUGGUGUUUUUUUAUGGAUUGCCAUUUCAAGUAUUGCUCCCGUUGGACUUCUUAUGUCGGGAUAUGGAUCAAAUAAUAAAUAUUCCUUUUUAGGUGGUUUACGGGCAGCUGCCCAAUCAAUUAGUUAUGAAAUACCAUUAGCUCUAUGUGUGUUAUCAAUAUCUCUACGUGUGAUUCGGUGAGACCUAAAAUUUCUCCAAAUUCUUUUCUUUCUAGAAACUCUAGAAACAAGGAUAAAAAGAUUUGAUUGACUAUAUAUAUUUUAUAUUUUAAUUUUUCUUCAGCAUUUGAGUUGAUGAACUAAACCAGAUAGUUAUAUGAGUGAAAGAAAACGGCUUCUAAAUUUGCAGUAAAAAGGUUGAGUCUCAUUUCCUAUGUACAAGAAUCAAAUGGUGAAAAAAGUAAACAUACGCAAGAGAGAUUGUUUACCCCAAGAUUGAUGAAUUGUCAUGAUAGCUUGAAGCGGGUUCAAAAGAUCAACUGUAUCAACUUUAUGGGGUUUUUACUGUCUAUUACCAUAGAUGGAUUUCCACAACGAGAGGUUGAAAGCAAAAAUGAGUGGAUGGUUAGGAAGACCAAGAUACACAAAGGAUUAGUAAUUGAGAUUAUGGAAGUUAUCCAAGAGGAUAUUUCUGUACAUAAAAGGAAUUCGAAUUGGGGCUUUGCGUUCGUAGAAAUGAUCAAGAAGUACUCCCCAUGAUUCUGAUCCAGAGUAUGUUCCUAUCCACUUAGUAAGUAAAUAACUAUCAAGAACGAAGUAAUCUUUUACUUUGGUUAAAGAAAGGCCCUUUUUCUGAGAAAGGAGAAUAGGAAUGAAAUAAAAUAAAUCGAAAUAGAAAGAAAAGAAUCAAAUUGCAAAAGCAAAAAGGGGGGAUGUCUUUUUUUUUUUUAUUCUUUCUUUCCUAUAAUUAAAUUUUUAUUUCGAUUUAGAGAGAGAAAAUUUUUGUCAUGAUUCAUGAACUAAUGGACUCUCUAAUUUUUUUCGUAAUUGAAAAUUCGAAGUUGAAAUGUAUAUAGGAUAUUGCUAUAAAGCGCAUUUUAUUUAAUGAUAAGGUUAUUAAUCAACAAAGAAAAAUUAAAAUUCUUAAAAGAUGAGAUCAAUUCAGAAGCACUUAUUUAUUAGUUUUAAAUAUAGCAGACAGAAUUCCAUUGGUCUAAUUUAGGACCUUAGGAUAGAUUUUGACUCUAUCUGACAAACAUAUCAAGAUAAAGAGUAGGAAAGGGCCCUUAGAUUUAUUUGUGACCUCUGAGGAGCCGUAUGAGGUGAAAAUCUCACGUACGGUUCUGUAAUAGCGAUGGGCACAGUGAUGUUAUCAUCGACUAUGAUUAUCUAACAGUUCAAGUACAGUUGAUAUAGUGGAAGCGCAGUCAAAAUAUGGUUUUUGGGGGUGGAAUUUGUGGCGUCAACCCAUCGGGUUUAUCGUUUUUCUAAUUUCUUCUCUAGCCGAGUGUGAAAGAUUACCUUUUGAUUUACCAGAAGCAGAAGAAGAAUUAGUAGCAGGGUAUCAAACCGAAUAUUCAGGUAUCAAAUUUGGUUUAUUUUACAUUGCUUCAUAUCUGAAUCUACUAGUUUCUUCAUUAUUUGUAACAGUUCUUUACUUGGGAGGUUGGAAUCUUUCUAUUCCGUACAUAUUUGUUCCUGAGCUAUUUGGCAUAAAUAAAAGGGGUAAAGUCUUUGGAACACUAAUUGGUAUCUUUAUCACAUUAGCCAAAACUUAUUUGUUUUUGUUCAUUCCUAUUGCAACAAGAUGGACUUUACCGAGGCUGAGAAUGGACCAACUAUUAAAUCUUGGGUGGAAAUUUCUUUUACCUAUUUCUCUAGGUAAUCUAUUAUUGACAACCUCGUCCCAACUUCUUUCACUGUAAAAGACCACAAUAUUCUAGAUUCACGACUUGUCUCAAACAAGAGAAAGAAACAAGCAUAAAAUGUUUUUUAUAGAUAUUCUAAAUAUGCUCCCUAUGAUAACUGAAUUCAUAAAUUAUGGUCAACAAACAAUACGAGCCGCCAGAUACAUCGGCCAAGGUUUCAUGAUUACCCUGUCCCACGCAAAUCGUUUACCUGUAACUAUUCAAUACCCCUACGAAAAAUUGAUCACACCGGAACGUUUCCGAGGCCGAAUACACUUUGAAUUUGAUAAAUGCAUUGCUUGUGAAGUAUGUGUGCGUGUAUGUCCUAUAGAUUUACCCGUUGUUGAUUGGAAGUUGGAAACUGAUAUUCGAAAGAAACGAUUGCUUAAUUACAGUAUUGAUUUUGGAAUCUGUAUAUUUUGUGGUAAUUGCGUUGAGUAUUGCCCAACAAAUUGUUUAUCAAUGACCGAAGAAUAUGAACUUUCUACUUAUGAUCGUCACGAAUUGAAUUAUAAUCAAAUCGCUUUGGGUCGCUUACCAAUGUCAGUAAUUGAUGAUUACACAAUUCGAACAGUUUCGAAUUUACUUCAAAUAAACAAUGAAUAAAUCCCUAAUUUGAUUCGAAAAAAAUUACGAAUUACGAAGGCUUAGUUCGUAUCUAAAAGAAUGAGAUUUUUGCUUGGUCAAUUCAAACUAGUGGUUGCUUAAUGAGACUCCUAGCUUAAUUUAGAUUGAAAACAAAACGGAUUUCUAUAUUAUAAUAGUAAUGGUUUUAAAGUAGAUAAAUGAUAUCAAAAAUAGAUAGGUUUAAACUACUCUUUUGACGAAUAAAGAAUUGAUAGUGGUCCAAUAAAAUAAAAUUAUCUACGUCAAUUCAUACCCAUCACAAUUUCAUUCAAUUAACAAUUUAAAAGUAUCAUAAAAAAUAAAAAAAACUUCUUUUUUCCUGGUCAGGUCAAUAAAGUCAUGAAAUUCUUCAUUUUUUAUUAUUUAUAAAAAAUGAAUUUAUCUGAACCAAUACAUGAUUUUCUUUUAGUCUUUCUAGGAUCGGGUCUUAUAUUAAGGGGUCUAGGAGUGGUAUUACUUCACAAUCUAAUUUAUUCUGCCUUUUCCUUGGGGUUGGUUCUUUUUUGUACAUCGUUAUUCUAUAUUCUAUCUAACUCCUAUUUUGUAGCUGCUGCGCAGCUACUUAUUUACAUAGGUGCUAUAAAUGUUUUAAUUAUUUUUUCUGUGAUGUUCAUGAAUGGUUCAGAAUAUUACAAAGAUUUUCAUCUUUGGACCGUAGGAGAUGGAAUUACUUCGAUGGUUUGUAUAAGUCUUUUUUUUCACUAAUUACUAUUAUUUCAGAUAUGUCAUGGUACAGUAUUAUUUGGACUACAAGAUCAAUCCAGAUUAUAGAGCAGGUUUUUCUAAGUAAUAGUCAACAAAUUGGAAUUCAUUUAUCAACAGAUUUUUUCUUCCAUUUGAACUUAUUUCAAUAAUCCUUUUAGUUGAUUUAAUAGGUGCAAUUGCUGUAGCUCGGCAAUAAAAAAUUUCUAUUAAAACUUGGAAUUCAAAUAAAAUUUUGUUCUGUCUUAUCACAUUCAUUUUCCUUCAAUUAUAUUUGAAUUUCAGCUGUAUAAAUAGAAAGACUUUAGGUCAAUCUAGUACCAAUAUAUUUCGUUGUUCCAUACUUGUUAUAUACUAGUCAAUUAAAUUGGUUGAAUUGUUGUUCAUAUUGAAAGGAGUCGAGAUUGAUAAGGAGUUGUUUAAUGAUUCUCGAGCAUGUACUUGUUUUGAGUGCCUAUUUAUUUUCUAUCGGUAUCUAUGGAUUGAUCACAAGUCGAAAUAUGGUUAGAGCCCUUAUGUGUCUUGAACUUAUAUUGAAUGCGGUUAAUAUAAAUUUUGUAACAUUUUCUGAUUUUUUUGAUAAUCGUCAAUUAAAAGGAGACAUUUUCUCAAUUUUUGUUAUAGCUAUUGCAGCUGCUGAAGCAGCCGUUGGACUGGCUAUUGUUUCAUCAAUUUACCAUAACAGAAAAUCAACUCGUAUCAACCAAUCAAAUUUGUUGAAUAAUUAGUAUUAAGCAUCUAGAUUCUAAUAUUGAUAAAUCGAUUUUAAUUAUCAUGUUUGCUACGUAAGGUAUGAUCUUGUUUGCAAAACAUAAGAAAUCAAAGUAUUUUGGCCUCUCUCAUAUUUCAUAAACCAAGCCCGAGGGGGUUGAUUAGAAAAUUAUGAUAACUCAUGAUUCGUCUGGUAUCUAAAUAUAUGAUUCGUUUCUAAGUUUACUAGAGUGAAAAUUUAUAACAUUCAAAAACGUAUAGACCCAAUGUCACAUUCAGUGAAGAUUUAUGAUACGUAUAUAGGAUGUACUCAAUGUUUCCGAGCUUGCCUCACCAAUGUAUUAGAAAUGAUACCUUGGGACGGUUGUAAGGCUAAACAAAUUGCUUCUGCUCCACGAACAGAGGACUGUGUUGGUUGUAAGAGAUGUGCUUGUCCAACAGAUUUCCUGAGUGUCCGAGUUUAUUUAUGGCAUGAAACAACUCGCAGUAUGGAUCUAGCUUAUUGAUACAUUCGAGAAAACUUUACUCGAAUCCAUUUAAUUUUUUUAACCGACAAACCUGUGCUAAAAAAUAAAAAUAUUUUGAGCACGGAUUUUUUUGGUCCAAGUGUAUCUUGUCUUUACUACGAAUUAUUUUCCUUGGUUAACAAUAAUUGUUGUUUUUCCGAUAUUUGCGGGUUCUUUAAUUUUCUUUCUUCCCCAUAAAGGAAAUCGGGUAAUUAGGUGGUAUACUAUAUGUAUAUGUAUUUUAGAACUGCUUCUAAUGACUUAUGCAUUUUGUUAUCAUUUUCAACCGAUGAUCCAUUAAUACAACUAGUGGAGGAUUAUAAAUGGAUCGAUUUUUUUGAUUUCCAUUGGAGAUUAGGAAUAGAUGGACUUUCUAUAGGACCCAUUUUAUAGACAGGAUUUAUCACUACCUUAGCGACUUUGGAGGCUUGGCCAGUUACUCGAGAUUCUCGAUUAUUCCAUUUUCUUAUGUUAGCAAUGUACAGUGGCCAAAUUGGGUCAUUUUCUUCUUGGACCUUUUACUUUUUUUCAUCAUGUGGGAGUUAGAAUUAAUUCCUGUUUAUCUACUUCUAGCCAUGUGGGGAGAAAAGAAACGUCUGUACUCAACUACAAAAUUUAUUUUGUACACGAAGGGGGGUUCUGUUUUUCUCUUAAUGGGAGUUUUGGGUGUUGCUUUAUAUGGUUCUAAUGAACCAACAUUAAAUUUUGAAACAUCAGUUAAUCAGUCAUAUCCUGUAGUUUUAGAAAUAAUCUUCUAUAUUGGAUUUUUUAUUGCUUUUGCUGUCAAAUCGUCCAUUAUCCCCUUACACACAUGGUUACCAGAUACCCAUGGAGAAGCACAUUAUAGUACUUGAUGCGUCUAGCUGGAAUCUUAUUAAAAAUGGGAGCGUAUGAAUUAAUUAGAAUCAAUAUGGAAUUAUUACCUCAUGCCCAUUCUAUGUUUUCUCCUUGGUUGAUAAUAAUAGGUACAAUACAAAUAAUCUAUGCAGCUUCAACAUCUCUUGGCCAACGGAAUUUAAAAAAAAUAAUAGCCUAUUCGUCUAUCUCUCAUAUGGGUUUCAUAAUUAUAGGAAUUAGUUCUCUAUCCGAUACGGGACUUAAUGGAGCCCUUUUACAAAUAAUCUCUCAUGGAUUUAUUGGUGUUGCACUUCUUUUCUUGGUGAGAACAACUUAUGAUAGAAUCCGCCUUGUUUAUCUUGAUGAAAUAGGCGGAAUAGCUAUUCCAAUGCCAAAAAUGUUCAUGAUGUUCAGUAGCUUUUCGAUGGCUUCCCUUGCAUUACCAGGUAUGAGUGGUUUUGUUGCUGAAUUGAUAGUAUUUUUUGGAAUAAUUACCGGCCAAAAAUAUCUUUUAAUUCCAAAACUACUAAUUACUUUUGUAAUGGCAAUUGGAAUGAUAUUAACUCCUAUUUAUUCAUUAUCUAUGUCACGCCAGAUGUUCUAUGGAUACAAGCUAUUUAAUGCCCCGAAGGAUUCUUUUUUUGAUUCUGGACCCCGAGAGUUAUUUCUUCCUAUCUCCAUCUUUUUACCAAUAAUAGGUAUUGGUAUAUACCCCAAUUUCGUUCUUUCAUUAGCAAUUGACAAGGUCGAAGUUAUUCUAUCUAUUUUUUUUUUAUAGAUAAUUUGGAUGACUGAAAUAAAAAAACCUCUAUUUGUUUUUAAAACCAUUCUUGGACAAUGAAAAAAAGUCUUCUUUUUUUCUUCUCUUAACUCUUAAGUUAAGUAAAAACAAUGAAAUUGAACUACAUAUGGUAGAAAACCGUGUGAAUCAAAUAUUGUAUUGAUGAUUCACACGGUCCGCAUGUUGGUUCAUACAAUGCGCCGCCCGCUCGUGUAUUUGUAAUAACUUGUCUUGAAUUCAAUUAAAUGUUGAUGGAAAAGAACCAUAACUAUGUAACCCUAUUCCUAAUAGAUUGACCCCAAAAUAGCAUAUCCAAAUUAUAAGAAAGCCUAUAGAAAUUGCAGAAUUUGUACCCCGUAAAUUUCUAUGUGUUCGAGUAUGUAAAUAAAUUGCAAAUACGAUCCAAGUAAUAAAUGCCCAAGUUUCUUUCGGGUCCCAAUUCCAAUAUGACCCCCACACUUCAUUAGCCCAUACUGCUCCCGAAAGGAUUCCUAUGGUUAAAAAAGUAAAUCCUAAACUAAUAACCCGAUAACUCCAAUAAUCCAAUUGUUGAAUCAAUUGGGACCUGUAAUAAUUUUUAGCAGAAAAAAACGAAGUAUUUUCUAAAACAUUUUCACCCAAGAAAAAUGACUCGUUUAAAAAACCAUUGCUCUUAUAAAAAAGCUUUCUGUUUUUUCGAAAUGUAAUCACUAGAAGUGCUACUGAUAAUAACGAUCCACAUAAAAGGGCUGCAUAGCCCAAUAUCAUCAUACUUACGUGCAUUAUUAACCACUCAGAUUGAAGAGCAGGUACUAAUAUUCCAGAUUGGUGUAUUUCAGUUAAAAUACCUGAAGUAGCAAAGCCUUGGGUAAAAAUAGCACUUGGCCCCGUUAUUUUACUUAAAAUUAAAACAUUUUUUUUGAAAUACGGAAUUAUAUGAAUAAGGGAGAAGCUCCAUGAAAGGAAAAUUAAUGAUUCAUAUAAAUCGCUUAGUGGGAAAUGUCCCGAAGAAAUCCAACGAGUAACUAAUAAUCCUGUUAUACAGAAAAAAGUAACUAUUAUGCCCUUUUCUGACGAAUCGUAUAGCUUUACGAUUUCAUCGACUAAAAAGGUUAUCAAAUGAAUUGUAAUUACAAUUGAAACGAUCGAAAAGGAAAUGUGAGUUAAUAUAUGCUCUAAGGUUGAAAAUAUCAUAAAAAUCUUAAAAAAGAAGAGUCCCUUAAUUACAUAAUUCUAAAAUGGAAAUCGGGAAUUGAAUUCAUUAUAAGAUCUAUUUAUCCUUUUUAGAAGACGGUAUGCCGCCACUCGGACUCGAACCGAGAUGCAUUAGCACUGCUUCCUAAGAGCAGCGUGUCUACCAAUUUCACCAUAGCGGCCUGUCUUGAACUCAUAAUAGCCUAUGAAUAAGCAAUCGUCGAGAUUGAGUAAGCUAUUUUAGUUUAGUAAUGAUUCAAAUGGAUUAAUAACAAUAAAAGGUUGUUCAAAUAGGAAUUGGAGGUUGAAGGUUCAUUAUUUUAGAUUUGAGUUUAGAGUCUUAGUUUUUUUAUUUAACCUGGAACUUUCCUAUAUUUUAUGCUUUCCGCGAAUUGAACUCUUGUAACUAAACCGUUCUAUAUUCAAUUAAGGAAUAGAGUUCAAAAAGUUUUUGUUUUCAUUGUUUAAUCAGCAAUUUAUUAUUUAUUUUUCAUAAAUCUAAAACAAAAAAGGUAUUUUGACAACAAAAUAGAAAGAAAAGAACCUAUUUUGCAUUGCUCAAAAUUGACAAUUAGUCAAACAAAAUUUCGUUAUGCAAUUUUCUCUGUUGGGUUAAGGGCAAGAUAUACAUAGGGUCUAUAUAAUAAUUCAGAGAAAAUAAAAAGUUAUAAAUUUAGACAAAACACAAAGGUUGCAAAAUAGAAUCAAUUAGUUUCAUUGAGUUCUUAACUUUCACUAAAGAUUUUUAUAUACGUUCUUCUCUAGUUAUGGAGAGAUGAAAAUAUAAUCAAAAUAUAGAAUUUUUUUUAAUUUAAUUCUGCAAAAAAAUAGGUCGGUGGGGAAAAUCAAACUCCCCACCAUGGAAUAGAAACGAUCUUAUUCUUUUGUCAACAAAAAAGUUAUUAUUCAGUGAAUAAUAAAUAGAGGAUUUCCUAAUUCUAUUAUUUUCUAUAUCAAUCAGAAAAGUGAAUAGAGUUCCAUUACAUAUUGAUUAGCUCACUAAUCAAUAUCAAAUAUGAAAGGGAAAUCCUUAAAUUAUUCAAUUAGAUAAUAAUUGAAUAAUUUAAGAAUAUAUAGAAUUAUUUUUUCAAGUUGAUUCAAAUUAUUCUAACGUUUUAUUACUUAUUUAUUUUUGUUUGGCAUACCAAAAAAGAAAUUUUUGACUCACCAGUAGAAAUAGCUUUCACUAACGAAAAAUCCUUUAAUGCUAUCCAAUAUCUCUUCCUUUUCCAAAUAUUUUUAUGAAUACGUUUUUUAGAUCUCGAAGUGCAUUUUUUUUGGAACUGCCAUUAUAAAAUUCCUCAUUGUUAGUUAUAGUUAGAUGUGAAAUACAUCUAUUGUUCAAAAUGAAAUCUUUAUAAUACGCAAUUUAUAAUACUAAAAUAAAACAUUAUCGAGAUAGGCAAAAGAUAAGAAUAGAAAAUUCGAUUUAAGUUUUAAUUUAGUUUAAGUUAGUCCAUAUUUUUACUUUUUAUUGACUCCUUUCAAAAGAGGUAAGAUCCGGUGAAUCGGAAACAAUUAAUUAAGAAUUCAAAACUUUUUUAUGGAACAGACAUAUGAAUAUGCGUGGAUCAUACCUUUCAUUCCACUUCCAGUCCCUAUGUUAAUAGGAGCGGGACUUAUUCUUUUUCCAACGGCAACAAAAAGUUUUCGCCGUAUGUGGGCUUUUCAAAGUGUUUUAUUGUUAAGCAUAGUCAUGAUUUUUUCAAUCUACCUGUCUAUUCAGCAAAUAAAUAGCAGUUCUUUUUCACAAUAUGUAUGGUCUUGGAUCAUUAAUAAUGAUUUUUCUUUAGACUUCGGAUACUUGAUCGACCCACUUACUUCUAUUAUGUUAAUAUUAAUCACUACUGUUGGGAUUAUGGUUCUUAUUUAUAGUGAUAAUUAUAUAGCUUAUGAUCAAGGCUAUUUGAGAUUUUUUGCUUAUAUGAGUUUUUUCAGUACUUCCAUGUUGGGAUUAGUUACUAGUUCGAAUUUGAUACAAAUUUAUAUUUUUUAGGAAUUGGUUGGUCUGUGUUCCUAUCUAAUAAUACGAUUUUGGUUUACAUGACCUGUUGCGACAAAUGCUUGUCAAAAAGCCUUUGUAACUAAUCGUGUUGGGGAUUUUGGUUUAUUAUUAGGAAUUUUAGGUUUUUAUUGGAUAACGGGGAGUUUCAAAUUUAAGGAUUUAUUUGAAAUAUUCAAUAACUUGAUUUAUAAUAAUGAGGUCAAUUUUUUAUUUGUUACUUUAUGCUCAAUUCUCUUAUUUGUCGGUGCAGUUGCUAAAUCUGCCCAAUUCCCCCUUCAUGUAUGGUUAACUGAUGCCAUGGAGGGGCCUACUCCUAUUUUAGCUCUUAUACAUGUUGCAACUAUGGUAGCGGUGGGGAUUUUUCUUGUAGCUUGGCUUCUUCCUCUUUUCAAAGUUAUACCUUACAUAAUGUAUUUGAUAUCAAUUAUAGGAAUAAUAACAGUAUUAUUAGGAGCUAUGUUAGCUCUUGCUAAAAAAGACAUUAAGAGAGAUUUAUCCUAUUCUACAAUGUCUCAAUUCGGUUAUAUGAUGUUAGCUCUUGGUAUGGGGUCUUAUCGAAGCUCUUUAUUUCAUUUGAUUACUUAUGCUUAUUCCAAAGCAUUAUUAGUUUUAGGAUCCGAGUCCAAUAUUCAUUCAAUGGAAACUAUUGUUGGAUAUUCUCCAGCUAAAAGCUAGAAUUUGGGUCUUAUGGGAGGUUUAAGAAAACAUGUACCAGUUACCAAAAUCACAUUUUUAUUAGGUACACUUUCUCUUUGUGGUAUUCCACCUCUUGCUUGUUUUUGGUCCAAAGAUGAAAUUCUUAAUGAUAGUUGGUUGUAUUCGCCAACUUUCACAAUAAUAGCUUGGGCCACGGCAGGAUUAACCGCAUUUUAUAUGUUUCGGAUCUAUUUACUUACUUUUGAAGGGCAUUUAAACGUUCAUUUUCAAAAUUAUGGUGGGAAACACAAAACCCCUUUCUAUUCAAUAUCUCUAUGGGGUAAAAACGGAAUUAAGAAAAACUCUUGUUUAUUAACAAUGAAUAAUAAUGAAAGUACUUAUUUUUUUUCAAAGACUAAAUAUCCAAUUGAUAAAAAUGAAAGAAAGAUGACACGACCUUUUAUGACUAUUGCUCAUUUUGAGCAUAAAGCGGUUUAUUCCUAUCCUUAUGAAUCGGACAAUACUAUGCUAUUCCCAAUAUUUGUAUUAGGACUCUUUACUUUGUUUGUUGGAUCGAUAGGAAUUCCUUUCAACCAAGAUGGAGUUAAUUUGGAUAUAUUAUCGAAAUGGUUAGCUCCAUCUAUAAAUCUUUUGCAUCAAAAGUCGAAUAAUUCGAUGGAUUGGAAUGAAUUUUUAAAGGAUGCGGUUCUUUCAGUCAGUAUAGCUUAUUUCGGAAUAUUUAUAGCAUCCUUUUUAUAUAAACCCAUUUAUUCUUCUUUAAAAAAUUUGGAGUUAAUUAAUUUUUUUGUUAAAAAGGGUCCUAAGAGAAUUCUGUGGGACAAAAUUAUAAAUGGCAUAUAUGAUUGGUCAUAUAAUCGUGCUUACAUAGAUGCUUUUUAUACAAGAUUCUUAGUUGGUGGGAUAAGAGGCUUAGCUGAAUUUACUCAUUUUUUUGAUCGACGAGUAAUUGAUGGGAUGACUAACGGGGUUGGGGUUAUUAGUUUCAUUGUAGGAGAAGGUAUCAAAUAUAUAGGGGGCGGACGCAUCUCUUCUUAUCUCUUCUUGUAUUUAGCUUAUGUUUCCGUCUUUUUAUUAGUUUAUUACUUACUUUUUUCUACUUUUUGAUUUUUGAAUCAAAUUCAGAUAAGAAUCUUUUUUAUCAUAAAUUUCACAAUUACUAGUAUUAAUAUUUUUAUAGCCUCUCUCUGUAAGGUGAGAGUGGAAUUUAUCCUUUAUUUUGUCCUUUCCAUUCACUAGAAUUUCUUCCAUUUCAUCGAUUUUAUCUGGAUCCGACCCUUCUUCCGAAAAAAGGGAAGGAGAAGGAUAAAGAUCUUCUUCUGUGGAUCCCUCUUGAAAAAGGGGAAGAGAAGGAUAAGGAUCUUCUUCAGUGGAUCUCUCGUGAAAAAGGGAAGGAGAAGGAUAAGGAUCUUCUUCAGUGGCUCCCUCUUGUUCCUGUUUAGUCCCCUUCAUUUCGGAAGCAGUUUCUACAUCUCUUUCUUCCUCACUUUCCUCCCUUUCUUCUGUUUUUGAGGCCUCUUUCAGUUUCUUAGCUUCUUUCAGUUUCUUAGUAAGAAUGGGUGAGGGUAUUCUGCCUAAAUAGUAGACACAGGUAAUAAAUAAGAGAAUACUAAAGAUCCGAGCCAUAGAAUUUCUCAAUUCUAACACAAGGUACUUAUUAGAUCGAAUGUACUUAUUAGAUCGAAUGUACUUAUUAGAUCGAAUGUACUUAUUAGAUCGAAUGUACUUAUUAGAUCGAAUGUACUUAUUCGAUCUAAUAGAAUGAUUUUGCCGUAUCCAGACUAAUACCAAUCCAAGCCAUUUCAUGAAUAAAAUGUGACCAAUUAACCAACCAACAAAACCACUUGUUACAAAUAAGAUCUUGUUGUUGCAUCGAAAGAGAUAAAUGUUGACUAAUCUGGCUAACAUUGAACUUGGUAAAAUGAAAUGGUUGAAUAAUUGAAAAAUGAGAUUAUUCAGGAAUACAUAUUGAAUGCUGAGAUUACGCAAUGAAUUUCUGGUAGUAGAUCCAUAAUAAAAAAAGUGUUUGUGAUUGUUCCAAAAGAAAUGAAACAAAAGAUAUGGUAGAGCUAGGACUGUUAUUGUAUGAGUUCUACCCAAUGUUAGAUGCAGAGGCGCAUAAUAGAUCGAUAUAAACAUCAUGAGCUAUCCCGUAAUAAAACCAGUUGUUGCUGAUACCUUCUUCUCAGUUUCUUCUUCCAUAACCAGAGCUCGAAGAAGGAAGAGGUAAGAGGACCCUAUGGAGAAUCUGGUCAGAAAUCCAUAAUAGAGUCCGACUACAAUGACUGAAUUGAUUAUCUUCAUGCAUAAAGAUACUAGAUUACCUAGUAGAAAAGAUUGAAAAAUCAUCACAAACCUCCCUUAUUUCCUAUUCUAUUGUAAUUUCUGGAUUAUUAGAUGAUGAUUUUUUCACUUUCCAUAUAUAAAAAAGAAAUAGAAAAAGAUAAACUAGAAACGACAUCUGUUAUGUCAAUGAGACCAAAGGGAUAUUAAAUGAAUGGAAUUGAGAUAUGGAUGGAAUAUAAUGAAAUAGAGACACUUUGAGGUUCCCUCUGAAAUGAGGCAUGUAAGGGAGCCACUACAAAGAAGUUCCGAGAGUUACGAAGGAAGCUUCAAGCUCAUAUUGGUCAUGGGUUGGGAAUAGGCAUUGAACUCUAUGAGAUCGAAUCUCCUAUUAUUCCUCAGUAGCUCAGUGGUAGAGUGUCUGGCUGUUAACCAAUUAGUCGUAGUUUCAAAUCCUACUUGGGGAGAUUUGAUUGAUUCUGAAUUAAAGAAUUCAGAAUAAAGGGGCUCGCUUUGCCCGUUAAUAGUAGGUAACCCGUUCCCUGUCUUUAUUUCUAUUGCAUUCUAUCUCAUCAUACCACAUUCUGUUCUGUGAGAUUAGAAAAUCACCAUCAACACCUUUUUCUAGGUCCGAGAUAAUCCUUUGUUCCAUAGCCCUGGGGUGGGGCUAUUUACAACUAGCCAAUUAAGAAGUCUCAGAUGUACUAGAACUGCAAGAUGCAGUCAUUGAUUCUCCCGAUAGGUCACAAUUGCCGUGAGCAAAGAUAUUAAUGAUGAGGAAGGCUUUUUUGUUAUGCUAAUAAUACUUGCUCUGCUAUUCUGCCCAAGCCUAGCUGAGGAAGAGUUACGGGGCAUAAAAUAAAAAAAUAUGCCGAUCGGGCAUACUAUGUGUAAUGAUUCCCCCAUUCACGAUAAAUAAAAAGAGAAAAAGAAAAGCCAUUCCUUUUCGAUAAAAGACCCACACCCAAGUUCUAUAGCUUUUGGUUCGCUAUAUCGAUCAUGAUUUUCCUACCCCUAGAGAGAAAGGUACUUCCCUUUUGGGCCGGUUGUGGGUGAGGAGGGAUUCGAACCCCCGACACCGUGGUUCAUAGCCACGUGCUCUAAUCCUUUGAGCUAUAGGACCCACCCCGUCUCCACUGGAUAUGUUCCUUGGAGUACCCUAAAAAAAGGAACCUUUUCUCUCUCCAGCCAUUUCGGGUUAAGAUGAUGUGAAAGUGCAUUUAUCUCUAUAAGAAGGGUGCGCUCUGAGGUGUGAAGUGGGAGAGAAGGGAUGUCACAAUUAGGGUUUUGAAUAAAAUGACCUUUUGAUUUUUCAUUUUUUUUCAUUUUCAUAUUGAAUAAGAAUGAGAGGUGUUAAGAUUUUUAUCAUCCUGGAGUCCAGCUAUUUUUUUGUAGGACCUCCCCUACAAUAUCAUCACCGCAGUAGAGUUUAACCACCAAGUUCGGGAUAGAUUUGUGUGGUUCCUAUACGCCUAGGAAACCAGAAUAUUAAACCAUGAAUGAAGAAAGAAAUGAGAGAAAAGCAUAUUGGCUAGUGAUUGUGAGGCCCCAAUUCUUGACUGGAGGGGACACCAAAGGCCUCUGCUCUUCCAUCCCUUGGAUAGAUAAAGAGAGGGGCAGAGCUUUUGGUUUUUUCAUGUUGUCAAGGAUUUGAACAAUGAAAAUAGAUGGCGAGUGCUUGAUCGAAUUGAUUAGGUAAUGUAGGAACAAGGUUCAAGUCUAUUGGUAUGUUAGGAUGCCUCAGCUGCAUACAUCACUGCACUUCCACUUGACACCUAGCGUAAUGAUAAAUGACUCGUCUCGCCGUGACCUUUUCUUGAAUUCUCAAAAAAACUUCUGUCGCUCCAUCCCCGCAGGGGCAGAGAACCCGUCGCUGUCUCGGCUGUGCUAUCGGAAUCUCUGGGGAAGUCGGAAUAGGAGAGCACUCAUCUUGGGGUGGGCUUACUACUUAGAUACUUUCAAAAGUUAUCCGCUCCGUACUUUGCUACCCAGCGUUUAUCGUGGGCACGAUAACUGGUACACCAGAGGUGCAUCCUUCCUGGUCCUCUCAUACUAGGAAAAGGUCCUCUCAAUUCUCUAACGCCUACACUGGAUAUGGACCGAAAUGUCUCACGAUGUUCUGAACCCAGCUCAUGUACUGCUUUAAUAGGCAAACAACCCAACCCUUGGAACAUACUACAGCCCCAGGUGGUGAAAAGCCGACAUCGAGGUGCCAAACCUUACCGUCAAUGUGAGCUCUUGGGGAAGAUCAGCCUGUUAUCCCUAGAGUAACUUUUAUCCAUUGAGCGACGGCCCUUCCACUCGGCACAGUCAGAUUACUAAGGCCGACUUUCGGCCCUGCUCGGUAGGUGGGUCUUGCAGUCAAGCUCCCUUUUGCCUUUGCACUUGAGGGCCAAUCUCCGUCCAGCCCGAGGAAACCUUUGCAUACCUCCGUUACCUUUUGUAAGGCCUAUGCCCCAUAGAAACUGUCUACCUUAGACCGUCCCUUGGCCCGUAGGUCCUGACACAAGGUUAGAAUUCUAUCCCUUCCAGAGUGGUAUAUCACUGAUGGCUUGGGCCCCCCGGAAGAAGGUAUUCUUCGCCUUCCACCUAAGCUGCACAGGAAAGGCCCAAAGCUAAUCCCAGGGAAUAGUGAAGAUUCAUAGGUUCUUUCUGUCGAGGUGCAGGUAGUCCGUAUCUUCACAGACAUGUCUAUUUCACCGAGCCUCUCUCCGAGAUAGUACCCAGAUCGUUAUGCCUUUACUACGGGUUAGAACUUACCCGACAAGGAAUUUUGCUACCUUAGGACCAUUAUAGUUAUGGCCGCCAUUCAUCGGGGCUUUGGUUGCCGGCUUCCCUGUAAUCAGGUUACCAACUUUCUUGAUCUUCCGGCACUGGGCAGGCGUCAGCCCCCAUACAUGGUCUUACGACUUUGCGAAGACCUGUGUUUUUGGUAAACAGUCGCCCAGGCCUGGUCACUACGACCCUCUUUGUGAUUUGAAGAGGCACCCCUUCUCCCAAAGUUAUGGGUCUAUUUUGCCGAGUUCCUUAGAGAGAGUUGUCUUACGCCCCUAAGUAUUCUCUACCUACCCACCUGUGUCGAUUUCGGGUACAGGUACCCUCUUGCCAAAGUCGUUCAAGAUUUUCCUGGGAGUAUCGCAUGGGUUACUUUAGUUCCGUAGCGCCUGGUAUUCGAACAUUGGCUCGAGGCAUUUUCUCUACCCCUUCUUACCCUAAAAAAGAGCAGGGACACCUUACGUUCUUGAACCGAUAACCAUCUUUCAGCUAACCUAGCCUCCUCCGUCCCUCAGGAUCAACAAGGGGUAGUACAGGAAUAUUCACCUGUUGUCCAUCAACUACGCCUUUUGGUCUGAUCUUAGGCCCUGACUCACCCUCCGAGGAUGAACUUUGCAGAGAAACCCUUAGGUUUUUAGGGCAUUGGAUUCUCACUAAUGUUUGUAUUACUCAAGCCAACAUUCUCACUUCUGUUUUGUCCACCACCCCUCAUGCGGAGGCUUCUCUCUAAGGUGGAACACUCCCCUACCGAUGUAUUUUUACACCUCACAGCUUCGGCAGAUCGCUUAGCCUUAUUCAUCUUCAGUGCAAGAGCGCUCGACCAGUAUGGCUGCUUUUAGGUAAACCUCUUGGCUGUCUCCGCACCCCUACCUCUUUUAUCACUGAGUGGCCAUUUAGGGGCCUUAGCUGGUGAUCUGGGCUAUUUCUCUCUCAAUGAUGAACUUUAUCCCCCAUCGUCUCACUAGCCAACUUUGACCCUUCUUUUUUAAUUUUAAUGCCAUACCUAGUAUUUAGAGUUUGCCUCGAUUUGGUACCGCUCUCACUGACCACACCAAAAUAGUGCUUUACCCCUAAAUGUCCAAUCAACUGUUGCACCUCAACGCACUUCGAGGAGAACCAGCUAGCUCUGGGUUCGAGUGAUAUUUCACCCCUAACC
rnacentral:lncRNA from 1 species